UCUCCGUAGGUGAACCUGCGGAGGGAUCAUUACAGAGUUCAUGCCCUACCGGGUAGAUCUCCCACCCUAUGUUAUUAUUACUUUGUUGCUUUGGCAGGCCGUUAGGCUCCGGCCCGACUACCGGCCCCGGCUGGUAAGCGCCCGCCAGAGGACCCAAAACCCUGAAUAUUAGUGUCGUCUGAGUACUAUAUAAUAGUUAAAACUUUCAACAACGGAUCUCUUGGUUCUG
rnacentral:misc_RNA from 1 species